AUGUGUGCGUCAAAUACAUGGUAUGUAGUGUGUGUAAUGUUUUCUUUAUUGAUUUAAUGUAUCUAUUAUGCAUUAUUUUAAAAAAAUAUUAGCAUUGUGCACUCUUUCUCUAUAUUCUCUAUAAAUGUGGAAAAUUUCAUACUGCUCCGCCCGCGCAAUUUUCGUAAAAAGGGAUACAAAGUUUUUGCUUAACGUAUUAUUAAAUCAUAUAAUUAAAUCUUCAAACCUGCUUGGUCUAGGCAUUGAUAUAUUGAGUAUCAAUCUCUCAUUCAGAUAUUGGACAACUCCUUGUGCUUCCAUUAGCAGCGGUACAUGGUAAACCGAAGUCAAAUCAUGAAUGCAUAUAACCUGUGAAUAAUGAACUAGUUAAAUGUGAUUUAUCUAAUGGCAAAGCAACAUAAAAUCCUAUGUCAAUCAAAUACUUUAGAAACAGAGUUAAAUUUUCAGUUGAAAUUGUUUCAGGCUGGUCAGCAACUAAAGAUUGAGUUCAAUUUUUUAGAGGAACUGAAGCAACAGUACUCAUAGAGCAUUCAUGCUUCAUUAAAACAGAGAAUUAUUUGAAAAAAAUUUUUUUUUUUUAAAUACUUAAUUUAAGGAGAAACAGUGAUGUUGUAGACUACAAUGAACAAUAAUGAUUCUAAUAAAUAAAAAAUUAAAUCACAUUA